rnacentral:lncRNA from 1 species
GCCUAGGGAUAGCAAAGGUGUCCACACAGGCUGGGGCUCUGCAUUUGCAGCCUAACAAUAAGACACACUUUUUCAAUAAGAAUACUUUUUAUUGGGGGUUGGAUGCCCUGUCAGAAGGUCAGAACAUUUAAAAAAAAAAAAAAAAAAAAGACAACAUAGACUUUUAGACUCUUCGUGGACAAUAUGGGCCCGCCCUGUCUCUCAGCCUCCCAGUGGUCUUCUGUGCCCACUCUUACAUGUCUGAUGCAGCGCCAACACCCACCCAAGUCUGCCAAGUCUGCCUGCUGAGCACAGAGACAACUCCGUCAGGUCCAGAGGGUCUUUUGUUUUUAAGGCAGUCAAAAUUUGUAGCCUGAUUCAAUGCCAGCUCCCAGGAGCCUCAGGGCAGCUAGAACUGGGGUUUGACCUCAUAUGGCCAAACUAGUGCCAGACCCCCAUGUAUUAUUAUUAUUGGGGAUCAGGUCUCUCCAACUCAGGCCUUUACAUCUGCCGUGAGCCAAGAGAGACCCUGUAUUGUAGCUGGGUACAAAGU